UUAAAUUGAAGAGUUUGAUCAUGGCUCAGAUUGAACGCUGGCGGCAGGCCUAACACAUGCAAGUCGAACGGUAACAGGAAGCAGCUUGCUGCUUUGCUGACGAGUGGCGGACGGGUGAGUAAUGUCUGGGAAACUGCCUGAUGGAGGGGGAUAACUACUGGAAACGGUGGCUAAUACCGCAUAACGUCGCAAGACCAAAGAGGGGGACCUUCGGGCCUCUUGCCAUCAGAUGUGCCCAGAUGGGAUUAGCUUGUUGGUGAGGUAACGGCUCACCAAGGCGACGAUCCCUAGCUGGUCUGAGAGGAUGACCAGCCACACUGGAACUGAGACACGGUCCAGACUCCUACGGGAGGCAGCAGUGGGGAAUAUUGCACAAUGGGCGCAAGCCUGAUGCAGCCAUGCCGCGUGUAUGAAGAAGGCCUUA
rnacentral:rRNA from 1 species